GUCUGGGAUAGCUCAGUUGGUAGAGCAGGAGACUCAUAAUCUCAAGGUCAUGGGUUCGAGGUCCACAUUGGAAA